rnacentral:misc_RNA from 1 species
GAUGAAGAACGUAGCGAAAUGCGAUAAGUAGUGUGAAUUGCAGAAUUCCGUGAAUCAUCGAAUCUUUGAACGCACAUUGCGCCCCCUGGCAUUCCGGGAGGCAUGCCUGUUCGAGCGUCAUUUCACCACUCAAGCCUGGCUUGGUGUUGGGCGACGUCCCCUUUGGGGACGCGCCUCGAAACGCUCGGCGGCGUGGCACCGGCUUUAAGCGUAGCAGAAUCUUUCGCUUUGGAAGUCGGGGCCCCGUCUGCCGGAAGACCUACUCGCAAGGUUGACCUCGGAUCAGGCAGGGAUACCCGCUGAACUUAAGCAUAUCAAUAAGCGGAGGA